CAGAUGCCGUGGCUGAAACAAUCAAUGAUGAGAAGUAAAUUAGUUUCGUGUUUGAAAAAUACGUCAUCUAUCCACACGCACGGUGAUGCCAUGGCGAAAAUAAUUCCUACGUCAAACUGCGAAAAACUGCAGGGUAUCUCCAAAUCCAGGAUACAGCCAACCAACACGCGGAAAUAAUUCGGACCAUUUGAUUAAAAAUAUGAGGAGCUUUUGAAAAGUUACAAAAACAAAAUACCGUACUAAUUUCGUCUGGAAACCUUCUGCAAUCAUCCACGAAGUGUAACUGAAGGGGUGGAGAAAAUAAAGUGGAUGCGAUGAAAUCCUGAAAAUCAAAGUAGCAGCUAUCAAACACCUAGAAUGACGAUGCCAACUCGGUGCAUCUCUGUAAGUCCAUAGUUUUGGAUGAGUGAGGAAAAUUGAUAUAAUUUUCUGUACUCCCGGAUUGGAGUCCGAAAAAUGAAUAUGAAGAAGGUGUUUGAUUAAAGGUACAAGAGGUCAAGUCCUGCAGCAGGCAUGACAAAACUUUGGGAAUUUGAUAAGGAUAAGGAAAUCCUUUCCGGACACGUGAGACCCACAGAGAGGUAACGAAGUCAUCAGAAAAAGACCGAAAAAUCUUUCGUCUCAGAAUCGAAUUGCAUGACUCUUUCUGAACUGAUUGAUUCCUCAGGAAUGGGAAAAAGAGAUAUGGACGAGCAAACUAGCAACAGUUUAGGAGAUACAAAUAAAAAAUACGGACAACAUCAAUUCUUUAUUAAUUUUAAUACAUGUUACGUGGAAUGGAGACAAUGCAAUACAAUACGUCACACAUCGUAUCGUGCGAGGGCUGAUUGCAGCUCUACGCAGGCCGAUACCUAGGCUAUAUUUUGUAACUAUAACAACAACUGUCUGUUACGGUAUAUUUCAAAUUUUGCUGAGGACAAUGUAUACUGCACAUCAGUAUCCACACGAGACAAUUUAAUUUCUUCUGUGAAGUUUAACCAGAUCAUUGCGGUCCUCUUUGUCUCUCACAGUAAUUCUAUUAGUAAUUUUGUAAAAUAACUACACAUUGACACGUGCAAACUUGUAUUGCAA
rnacentral:misc_RNA from 1 species